rnacentral:rRNA from 1 species
UCGGAGGCAGCAGUGGGGAAUCUUGCACAAUGGGGGAAACCCUGAUGCAGCGACGCCGCGUGAACGAUGAAGCCCUUCGGGGUGUAAAGUUCUUUCGACGGGGACGAUAAUGACGGUACCCGGAGAAGAAGCUGCGGCUAACUACGUGCCAGCAGCCGCGGUAAUACGUAGGCAGCAAGCGUUGUUCGGAAUUACUGGGCGUAAAGAGUGCGUAGGCGGUUGACUAAGUUUGGUGUGAAAUCUCCCGGCUUAACUGGGAGGGUGCGCCGAAAACUGGCCAGCUAGAGUGUGGGAGAGGAUAGUGGAAUUCCUGGUGUAGCGGUGAAAUGCGUAGAUAUCAGGAGGAACACCUGCGGUGUAGACGGCUAUCUGGACCAUGACUGACGCUGAGGCACGAAAGCGUGGGUAGCAAACAGGAUUAGAAACCCGUGUAGUCC